rnacentral:rRNA from 1 species
CGGGAUUGAAAUUUAGAUGACGGCAGAUGAGAGUUUGCUUUCCUUCGGGACAUCUAAGUAGGUGCUGCAUGGUU